rnacentral:rRNA from 1 species
GACAGAGGCCUCAAGCGUUAGGCGGAAUCACUGGGCUUAAAGCGCGCGCAGGCGGCAGUACAAGUACCCUCUGAAAUCUCCUUGCUCAACGAGGAGGGUGGAGGGUAGACUGUGCAGCUAGAGGAGGGUAGAGGGGGGUAGAAUUGCUGGUGUAGCGGUGAAAUGCGUAGAGAUCGGCAGGAACACCCAGGGGGAAACCAGUCGACUGGGCAUCUACUGACGCUGAGGUGCGAGAGCGUGGGGAGCGAACCGG